CCUACGGGAGGCUGCAGUAGGGAAUAUUGCUCAAUGGGGGAAACCCUGAAGCAGCAACGCCGCGUGGAGGAUGAAGGUUUUCGGAGUGUAAACCCCUUUUGUUAGAGAAGAUAAUGACGGUAUCUAACGAAUAAGCACCGGCUAACGCCGUGCCAGCAGCCGCGGUAAUACGGAGGGUGCAAGCGUUACUCGGAAUCACUGGGCGUAAAGAGCGCGUAGGCGGGAUAGCAAGUCAGAUGUGAAAUCCUAUGGCUUAACCAUAGAACUGCAUUUGAAACUGUUAUUCUAGAGUGUGGGAGAGGUAGGUGGAAUUCUUGGUGUAGAGGUGAAAUCCGUAGAGAUCAAGAAGAAUACUCAUUGCGAAGGCGGCCUGCUGGAACAUAACUGACGCUGAUGCGCGAAAGCGUGGGGAGCAAACAGGAUUAGAUACCCCUGUAGUC
rnacentral:rRNA from 1 species